UACGGGGGGGGCAAGCGUUGUUCGGAAUUACUGGGCGUAAAGCGUGCGUAGGCGGUUCGUUAAGUUCGUUGUGAAAGCCCCGGGCUCAACCUGGGAACUGCAAUGGAAACUGGCGGGCUUGAGUGUGGCAGAGGGGGGUGGAAUUCCGCGUGUAGCAGUGAAAUGCGUAGAGAUGCGGAGGAACACCGAUGGCGAAGGCAGCCCCCUGGGCCAACACUGACGCUGAGUGAGCGAAAGCCAGGGGAGCAAACGGG
rnacentral:rRNA from 1 species